rnacentral:tRNA from 1 species
GGAGGGUUGGCAGAGCCCGGUCGAACGCGCCGCACUCGAAAUGCGGUAAGGGAGAAAUCUCUUCAGAGGUUCAAAUCCUCUACCCUCCG